GAGGGGUCAGAAUUAGGAGGGUUUGGACAACAUGAUGGACUCACUGGCUUCAGAGGAAUCUUCACUGACGGGAGAGAGUCUUUGGGACACUUUGAGUGGGAGAAGACGACACCAGUGUAACAGACAAUAUACAUGCAGGAUGUCGUCCAGCCAGGCCAGAUCAUGCUGCGAGAAGAUCAGGUCCAGCAUCUUCCUCACGACCAUCAGGCCCAGAAUCUGACGGAGGAAGCGGUCACAUGACAACAGGGCAGGAGAAUGGCAUCCAAACACAAAAAAAGCAAAUAAAAUGCUUAUAGUGCUCCGAGAGUUACAUGUACGGGUGAAGAAAAAUCCAGCACUCGCACCAUGACGGGGAAAAUGAUGGCGGCUACGGUGGACUUGAGGAUCCAGAGGACGGCCAGACAGGUGAUCUGCACCAGAGUGAAGAGAUGUACGCGCCGCAGGGGUACGUGACGCAGGAACACGAAGUCU